ensembl:lncRNA
CUGAAAUUCAGCCUUGUGGGCACCCUAUAUUUUUAUUUGCUAAAUGUGGCAACCCUACCCCAUAGAUAACCCCUAGGAUGAUGAGAUGCCCCUUCUGAGGGUCCUACAGCUCUGAACUAACACUUACCCACCUGAGAGACUGGGGAUCUAUUAUGAUCUCUGUAUUCUUGCUACUCAACACAGAGAGCCUGGCACAGAACAGAUGGCAGUGUUUGCUGAGUGAAUGAAUGCAUACAUAUGUGUGACAUAGCAAUAAACCUGUAUCUUCUGGUGGAAUCUUUAAGUGUUGUGAUCAGUAUACAGUGUCAAUUCCACUUAUAUCCACCUUCCCUUCACAGUCUUGGAAGAGUCACCUCAUGGUUUACACGUCCCCCCAGGCUGGUGAGCUAGAAAGCCAGGAGUCAUCUGUAGACUUAGGGAAGCCAUUACAGGACCAGUGGGGUUUUCUGUCUUUUAUAUUCGGAGUGGGGAGGAACGGGAGGGAGACCACCAUCUUCUGGCGAUAUGGAAGUCGAGAAAGGCAAACAGGAGGGAAACAAGAGAGGAAAAGAAGAGGAUGUGAAAAGCCCGAAGGAAGGCAGGAGAGCAAGAAGAUGUUUAUUGUGCUGGGUGUUCUUGGAGGCACUGAGGAUUCAGCAGUGAACAAAACAGACCUGGUCCCUGAAAGUCUCUGAAGGAGGGUGAAGGUAAAGAUAAACACAGCUGACAUUAGUGGUAAAAACCGAUUUUAUUCAGUAACUACUGACAGUAGAGGAAAGAGCUGAACUUCAUUCUCAUUUCCACAGAGGCGACUAGGAGUUUUGUUUUGUUUUGGUUUUUGAGACUGAGUCUCACUCUGUCCCCCAGGUUGGAGUGCAGUGGCGCAAUCUUGGCUCACUGCAACCUUCCAGGUUCAAGGGAUUCUCUUGCCUCAGUCUCCUAAGUAGCAGGGGUUAGGGGUGUGUGCCACCACGCCCGGCUCAUUUUUGUAUUUUUAGUAGAGAUAGGGUUUCACCAGGUUGGUCAGGUUGGUCUCAAACUCCUGACCUCAGGCCAUCUGCCCACCUCGGCCUCCCAAAGUGCUGGGAUUACAGGCAUGAGUCCCUGCCCCAGGCCCGUGACUAGGAGUUUUAAAGAAAGAAUGAGGGAGUAGGGAGGAGGAUCAAGUGGGGACUCACAUAGAAUCAAGGAAGUGAAAAAUUACAAAAAAGUGGACAAGAGGGUUGGUCAGGGUAAAUACAAUUAAGCCAGCUGCAUCUGCUGGCUGGAAAUGAACAAAGUUAGGAUUCCUUCCUCCCACAGACAGUGGGAGACAGAGGCCCUAUCCUUCUUGAUUAUUACAUUUUAAAGGAAUGGCUUUCAGGUCCUUGAGAAACAUUCUUGAGUUGUAAGAGAUACAUGCAUGUAUAUCUCUUAAGGGACAAAGGAAGGAUUCACAAUAGUAAACUUUUUCCUUUUUUUUCUUUUUUUGGACUAAGUUUCGCUCUUGUUGCCCAGGCUGGAGUGGCAACGGUGCUGUCUCAGCUCACUGCAACCCCGGGUUCAAAUGAUUCUCCUGCCUCAGCCUUCCGAGUAGCUGGGAUUACAGGCAUGUACCACCACGCCUAGCUAAUUUUGUAUUUUUAGUAGAGACAGGGUUUCUCUAUGUUAGUCAGGUUAGUCUCAAACUCCUGACCUCAGGUGAUCCGCCCAGCCUCGGCCUCCCAAAGUGCUGGAAUUACAGGUGUGAGCCACUGCGCCCGGCCUCAUAAUGGUAACAUUUUCUUAGCGCUAAGAAGGUGGUCAGGACCCAUCCUUGUCAGGUGUUGGCUAGGACGAAUGAUAACAUUGUUUUGACAGCCCUCAGCUUUUUCAGACUGGAACUCAAAAGGAGCUGGGCUGCCCCCAAGUGGUAGCCUUAGGCUGCUAUAAGCUAUGCCAAAGUUUGGUGAAGUCUCUAAGUGCAGGGGUUUGAAUGCAGUGUUCCUGCACAGAGUUGGUGCAGUUCGAGGGGGACUGUGGAACCAACAAUAACAUGUAAAUGACUUUCAGGUAGUGAUAUUUGAAGACAAGGGAGGUUGGGAGAAGGAAUUGACUAUUUUGGUGAACUGAGAAUCCAGAAAUACAAAGGCUUGGGAAGAACAAGUGAAAAUCCCUGAGGCAGGACCAGGCCUGUCUUUUGCUCGGGCAGGAGGGAAGGACCAUGUUCCUGGAGCACGGGUAGCUCUCAAUGAAAGUGAACAGGGUGGGACUAAGGCAGGGGAUGGUGGGACAAUUGAAGUCUGAAAUCUUGGAGAUACUCAGGAGUCAGAUCACAAGGAUUAUGUGUCACCAGGCCCACCCCGUAAAGUCAUGCAAAUUUGCUCUGUAUAAGGGCAGCUUGUGCUGAAAGGAUGAGGACAGGGACCUAAAAUUGCACCUGUACUAUGUUCACCAAGUUGUAUAGUGCAUCCUGGUACAGGGCCCUGUCAGCCAGCAGAAAAAGGUGCCUUUUCCUAAUAACUACAAGCUAGGCAAACUGUGAGCCAGAGGGGCUGCAUUUGCCUAGAGGGGCACUGCGGUGGUCUGAAUGUUUGUGCCCCCUCCCCACCAAAUUAAUAAAUUGAAAUCCUAACCCCCGGGCCGGGCGCGGUGACUCACGCCUAUAAUCCCAGCACUUUGGGAGGUCGAGGCGGGUGGAUCAUGAGUUCAAGAGAUCAGACCAUCCUGGUCAACAAGGUGAAACUCCGUCUCUACUAAAAACACAAAAAUUAGCUGGGCAUGGUGGUACGCGCCUGUAGUCCCAGCUACUCGGGAGGCUGAGGCAGGAGAAUUGCUUGAACCCAGGAGGCGGAGGUUGCGGUGAGCCAAGAUCGUGCCAUUGCACUCCAGUCUGGGUAACAACAGUGAAACUCAGUCUCAAAAAAAAAAAAAAGAAAAGAAAUCCUAACUCCCAAGGUGAUGUUAUUGGGAGAUGGGACCCCUUGGGAGGUGGGCUCCACCUUCAUGGGUGGGAUUAGUGCCCUUAUAAAACAGGCCCAAGGAAGCUCAAUCGCUCCUUCAACGAGGUGAGGACACUGAGAAGGUCUUAUCUAUGAUGAGUGGGUCCUAGGUGGGUCCUCACGAGACACUGAAUCUGCCAGUGCCUUGAUCUUGGACUUUGCAGCCUCCAGAACUGUGAGAAAUGAAUCUCAGUUGUUUAUAAGCUACCCAGUUUAUGGGUUUUUUUUUUCUUUUGUUAUAGCAGCCCAAAUAGACUAAGACAGGCACUUUUGUCUAAAUAGCAUGAAGGGGGCCGGGCACGGUGGCUCAUGCUGUAAUCCCAGCACUUUGGGAGGCCAAGGCAGGCAGAUCACCUGAGGUUCAAGACCAGCCUGGCCAACAUGGUGAAACCCCGUUUCUACUAAAAAUACAAAAAUUAGCCAGGUGUGGUACGUGCACCUGCAGUCCCAGCUAUUGGGGGUUUGAGGCAGGAGAAUCGCUUGAACUCGGGAGGCAGAGGUCACAGUGAGCCAAGAUCGUGCCACUGCACUCCAGCCUGGGUGACAGAGUGAGACUCUGUCUAAAAAAAAAAAAAACCCAAUAAUAAUAAUAAAUAGCAUGAAGAUGUUCUUUGGGUUAGCUGUGGCUUGUGGGCUGGGCGCUGAGCUAGCAGCUGCCACAGUAGCAGACCAGUUAUGAGGUUAUUGAAAACACCGAGGCAGCUGUCCCAAGAAAAGCUCACACCUGUAAUCCCAGCACUUUAGGACACUGAGGUGGGUGGAUUACCUGAGGUCAGGAGUUUGAGACCAGCCUGGCUAACAUGGUGAAACCCUGUCUCUAAUUUUAAAAAUACAAAAAUUAGUCAGGCGUGGUGGUGGUCGCCUGUAAGCCCAGCUACUCUGGAGGCUGAGGCAGGAGAAUCGCUUGAACCUGGGAGGCAGAGGUUGCAGUGAGCCGAGAUUGUGCCACUGCACUCCAGCCUGGGCAACAGAGUGACACUCCGUCUCAAAAAAAAAAAAAAACCAUGAAAAAUGAGUUUAUUUUACCUUAUUACAAUGGCCCAUAGUGGCUGUUCAAUGGGCAUGUUCAGUACCUCCAAGGAGAAAACUGCAGUGACAGCUGUAAAGGGAAAG